CCUGACUUAGGGCUGAGCAGCUCAUCUGAAUCUCCUGGGCUUUCCCUUAUAAGAGCCUUGGGGCCCAGUACUCUGGAAGGGGUCUGGGAAAGGAUGCCCCCCUUUCUUCAGACCUUCAACUCAAACGCACCAUGGAGAUGGAUGUCUCAAGUGCACAGGGCACUUCGCCAACAGCAGCAUAAUUAAUACUCGGACUCCAAAUGCCCGCUCCUCUGAGGUCCCCACCCAUCAUCAGCCAGGUCUCCCAGCACUGCCUCAGGACCAGACAGGGGCAACCCUCCUGCCCUGGCAUCAUUCAGCACCUUCCAGAAAGGAAAAGGACCCUAACCAGAUGGGAACUCUGAGUGAAAGGGGAGGACACCCUCCCCCACCCCCGCCAGGUGGGAAGGUUGAAGUGGCUGUCUCACCCUGGAAGAUCCUCUUCGUAUGUGAACGCGGGCUCUGCUGGGUGCCUUGCCUGUUUUCUGCCCCAGGAGGCUGGCUGUUGGCCAGAUGGUGGUGGUUCUGGACUUGGGGACUGGCGAAGCCUUCAGGAGGCCCCUGCAUGGAUGGAGGGAGGGAGGGUCAUUCUGUUGCGUGUGGCUUGAGCUGUCCUCUGCUCUUUGACUUGGACCUCUGAAGAUGCUCCCUCCUUGGAGAGAAAACCUUUCUUGUGUUUUGACAUCAUCUAAUUCUCCCUACAACGGCCAGAGGUAGAUCACUGCUGUCCCCAUUUUACAGCCUGGAAAACUAAGGCUGAGAAGGCUGAGCAACUUGCUCAAGGUCACUGAGAGCCAGCCAUGGGGCGGGGCCUGUACCCCACUGCCUCCAGAACCCUGUAAUUGUCAUCUUUCACUGGUGUUAUGUGGGAGGAAAAAGCCCCUGAAGGGACUGGUCAAGAGUUUGACGUCUAAGCUAUUUACAGGUUAAAAAAGAACAAGGACAGUUUGCGUUGAUGUAGCCCUGGAAAAUGAUAUCUCCCUUCGCGGUUGAGAACCCACGGCGGCAAAGCACCCGAUGGCUUGAUCCAGCUCUGGGACUUGGGGGCUUUGGGCUCUCAUUGGCUUGCUGGGUCCACGGGUGACGGCUGAGACACACAUGCGGCUCUGCCUAUCACUCAUCCAGGGUGUCCUCGGUCGAGCCUGCCUGGUGGUUGCUGACGUCACAGGGAGGUGGGUCGGUGGGUGGAGCCGCAGGACGGAGGGACGAGGUUAUGAUUAUGUUGGCGGGAAUCCAAACCAAGGGUGGCCUUGGCCGUGCACCCUGGGAGGGGACCGGACGUCCCUAAUGGAGCUAUCAUGAAACUGGCACUCGAAAUUUGAUCCUUCCCAGAAACUCCUUCUACAAAGCUGUCCUAAUAAUAAUAAUAGACAUUUUCUGGCCACAGAAUAAAUACCUUAGUGGAUAAAGUGUGUAAAACA
rnacentral:lncRNA from 1 species